rnacentral:ncRNA from 2 species
GAGCGCCGUAUGCGGUAAAAGCCGCACGUACGGUGCGAAGCGGGGGAAAAUGACUCCUAACCUCUCAAUGAGGAAGGAUGAUCAUUACCUAUCGCUAU